GUGAAGGAAUAACACUUGUCAAAACAUGGAGGUGGGAAUCGCUGAAGGGGACAUGGGGACAAGAGUGUCCUCCGGCUGGGUGGAACCCAAGAUGCAAGGGGCUUUGUGGGAGGGAUUCAGGAGUGAAGGGUGGGUGGGGGAGGAGAGCAGUUGGGUCUUCCUAGGUUAAUAACGAUUGUUGUUUAGUGGCGAAGUCAUCUCCAUCUCUUUUGCAACCCAAUGGAGCCCACCAGGCUCCUCUGUCCAUGAGAUUUCCCAGGCAAGAAUACUGGAGUGGGUUGCAAUUUCCUUCUCAGGGGAUCUUCUCUACCCAGGGAUCUAACCUACAUCCCGUGCAUUGGCAGGUGGAUUCUGUACCACUGAGCCACCUGGGAACUAGAUAAUACUCACUUCUAAGUAAGGGAAACCAGUACUGGAUUUUUAUUUACCUUUUGAAAUUAUUUUAUUUUGGCCACACUACACAGCAUGCAAAAUCUUAGUUCCCUAGGCAGGAAUUGAACCCACUCCCCCAGCAUUGACAGCACAGAGUCUUAACCACUGGCCACCAGAGAAGUUCCAAAACUGGGUUUUUAGAGCGUGGCUAGGAAAAACAAACUCCAGACCACUUAGGAAAUGGAAAGGAAUCGAGGUGGGCUUCAAGGAGAUUAGGCAGCAGGAGCGGUAUGAGAAAACUCUGGAGCUGCAUGAAAUCAAGCAGAGCCUGCUUCCACUAACCAGGCAAUGCAUUUUUAAAACUUAUAAAUAAGGCUUAUAGUGAUUCCCCACUACAUAAAUUGUAAGUAUAGCUGCAGUCUUUUUCUGCUGAGUUCUGAGAAAAUAUGGUUUGUUUUUUUUUUGUCUCCACCAAUGAAAUAAAUACAUGGACAGAAAAUUCCAAGCAUUGCUUCCAUGCAAGGGAUUGCAAAGGAGAUGGGUCUGGGGAAGACUGUAAAUGGAGACCUACAUAGGAUAUGGCUAAAUAUCUAAGGUAUAUUCAUGCUAGGUCCCUUCAGUCAUGUCCGACUCUGUGCGACUCUAUGGAUUGUAGCCCACCAGGCUCUUCCAUCCAUGGGAGUCUCCAGGCAAGAAUACAGGAGUGGGUUGCCGUGCCCUCCUCCAGGGGGUCUUCCUGACCCAGGGAUUGAACCUGCAUCUCUCUCUUACAUCUCUUAUAUUAGCAAGCGGAUUAUUUACCACUAGGGCCACCUGGGAAGCCCAUCUAGGGUAUAUAUUAAGCCAACAAACUAUUAAAUGAAAUCCAUUCUG